rnacentral:ncRNA from 2 species
ACCUGUUCUCAGGGCGGGGUGAAAAUCCCCACCGGCGGUAUACCGGCUGUUAAUCCGGAAAGCCCGCGAGCGCUUUCGAUUAUUUCGAAAGGUCAGCAGAUUUGGUGAAACUCCAAAGCCGACGGUUAUAGUCCGGAUGAAAGAGGAUAGCG